rnacentral:rRNA from 1 species
UACAGAGGGUGCAAGCGUUACUCGGAAUUACUGGGCGUAAAGCGUGCGUAGUCGGUUAUUUAAGUCGGAUGUGAAAUCCCCGGGCUCAACCUGGGAAUUGCAUUCGAUACUGGAUAGCUAGAGUUCGGCAGAGGGAAGUGGAAUUUCGGGUGUAGCGGUGAAAUGCGUAGAUAUCCGAAGGAACAUCAGUGGCGAAAGCGACUUCCUGGACCAGAACUGACGAUCAGGCACGAAAGCGUGGGGAGCAAACAGG